UGUCCCCGUCCAGACGAACCUCCUCCAGGGAGCUGCUCUGGGAUACGUGGCUGUGAGCAGGAAAAAAAAGGUAUGAUGUGGACUGCGUGCAGGUGAAACCUCCCGACUGCCUGAGUUUGAGAGUUGCUAUCUUGAUGACUGUGAGAAUCCUGCCAUCAAUCACUGGCUGAAAACCAACCCUGUCCGACUGCCUCCAUCCUGUUGAGGACACAAAUGCACAUUUACCCUCUGCUUGACUCCUCCAAACCACCACCUUGGCUCCAAAGAUUUGGUCAGUAUGGCAGUACAAUAUGCCAAUCUGUUAUUUACAUAUUGUGCACCAUUAUUUAUACUUAAGUGAUUUUAGAAUAUUGCUGACCAUGUAGUUGCACAGAAUUGCUCAAUUUCUUGCUACUGUUC